UCAACUAGGUCUAGGCAGGUGUUGCAUAUUAAUUACUCCUUUAAACUAUAUAAACCAAUAAGAUUUUAUGAUAUUCAACUAUCUGUUAUUAUAAUCCUGCCUAAUCCAAUUAUAAGCUAAGCGUAUGCACCAAACUAUAUAGACUUUAGAGAUUUUUGGCAAUACUAAGACAAUAAAAAAGAAAGAGAGAGAAUCUAUGACAAAAGGAAAUGAAUAGGGGACCGGACAUUUUUGUGAUGGAUUGAUUUUUUGAAAAACGAUAGCAGUAUCUGGGUGGUCAAGGGGGGCACAUAGUGCAUAUACAUUAUGCAGGCUGCAUAUAUGGGCCUGCAUAUAUUGUUUGUAUUUAAAUAUUUAGAACAAAUAAAAUAUAUUAAAUACAAUAAUAGCAGUAUUUUUAUAUAAUAUCAUCAUUACUAAAACUAACUUCUAGCAAUUAUCCUUUACUACUUGGUACUUAAUUCCAAUACUAAUAGUAAUAAAAUAAUUAAUAUAUUGAUAUUAUUAAUAGUAUGCAUCUCCAACUUGAUUGAAACCCAGAUCCGAACCAAUCAUUAGCUUGAACCUGCCUUGUUAUUGUAGUCUUGCAGAGAAGUGGAUAACAUGUAUUCGCAUAAUGCUAAAAGAUGCACAUUC
rnacentral:lncRNA from 1 species